AAAUCAUAGCCUCAUAUAAGAGGUUACAGUGAU
rnacentral:guide_RNA from 1 species